CUUAGACAGACCAAGGGACACAGCUUCGAGAUUGCGACUCACUUUCCUAUGUCUAUGUACAGAAAUAUCUUUAAGAACUUUAUCCUUCCCAACAGCCUUAGCUGCGGAUUGCAGGAGAGCCACUGCUUGCUGAAUAUAAAGUGGAUUCACUCUUUCACUUGAUUUGUUAAGCUGAUCUGAAACAUGUGACGAACUCCCAACUGAACUCGUCGGGUUCCCCAUUUUUUGAAAUUCCCUAGGAGAUGCAGGCAAAGUGGAAUUUGCAAGACGUCUGCACACCGGG
rnacentral:misc_RNA from 1 species